rnacentral:lncRNA from 1 species
CUUUUGAGUCUGACGGGCUGGUGGAGUGUGAGCGUGGCUCCUAAAUUUCUUGGGUAGGACUGAAGAAGCACUUUUAAGAUGUGGAAACUCAGAGAGGAUGCCACUAUUUUGAACUAUUUUGAAGGCACAGCCACCAGAGCUUUGGGGACAGGGUAUUUUAUCACAGCAACAGAAAUGAAACCAAAACAACUUCCACAAUAAAAUUCUUGAGUUUCUUGGGGCCAAGAAGAUGGCACGAUAAGAUAAAGACACUGGCCAAGCAUGACCUCCAGAGUUUGACCCUUGCAUAAAGGAUAAAUUUAAUUCCUUCAGUUGUCCUCUGACCUCCACAUGCGUCCUGUAACAUGGGUGUAUGCAUACACAUAAACACACAUCCACACGUUAAAUAAAUAAAAUAUAAUAACAGU